CUGAAAACUCUCCAGCGUAGAAUUCAGGAACCCUGAGUUUUCUAUCUCUGUCUAGUUCUGGACUGAAUGGGCUCAAGUCAUCUAGUUAACCUCUCUGGAUUUCAGUCUUCUGAAAAGUGAAGCUAAGAGAUCUAGCAUUCUGCAGAAAAGUACUGGAGAUGACUCAGGACUGAAAAUGAUCAUGAAGCCCCUUUGCAAAUAUCAAAGUGGUGAUGAAGCAGUCAUGAACUUUGACCAGAAGCCGUGUUUUGUGGGAUUGCCACUUUAAUCGCUCCUGUUCAUCAUUAGGACUGCAGCCAGAGUGUGGAAGGAGUGACAGCACAGAGGAAGAGAUGGUCCAAGACCAAAGAGGAAAGAAAUGGCAUAAGAUGGGACAGUGUUCUAUGAUCUCUAACUGGCCAAAGAAAAAUGAGAAACAAAUUUAAAAGAAGACAGUUGGAUGACUUAAACACCACCCCUGAGAGGCAGCUGUUUCCAGAAUAUUGCACAAUUUAUUGAGUUCAUGAGAAUCGUGAUCGUUGGCAGCACCGAACUUCACGGAGGGAAUCAUAGGCACUUUAAUUCCAAUUUGUUGACUUAUGGAGGAAGAAAUUUCUCCCAGUGGUGUCCCUUCAUCCAGGAACAAGAGCCAUCAAAGUGUCACAGACUUAGAGCCGGAAGGGCUCUCCGCUAGUGUUUCUGCCAGUCCUCUUGGUUUUACACAUGAGGAAACUGAGGCCCAGAGAAGUUACCCAGUAGCAGAUCUGCAAGUCACCCAGUAGCAGAUCUGCAAGGAGCUCUUAGCAAUCCUGACUCCAAGUGUAAUGCUCUUGCAUUAGCUCUGUGCUGCCUCCUAGAUGUUGGUCUUCUUAAUGUUGAUAGCACAUUUGCUCAAAUGUUUGCUAAUAUGGUUUGGCUGUGUCCUCACCCAAAUCUCAUCUUGAAUUGUAGUUCCCAUAAUCCCCACUUGUCGUGGCAGGGACCCAGUGGGAGGUAAUUUAAUCAUGGGUGUGGUUACCCUCAUGCUGUUCUCAUGAUAGGGAGUGAAGUCUCACGAGAUCUGAUGGUUUUAUAAACAAGAGUUCUCCUGCACAAGCUCUGUUGCCUGCUGCCAUGUAAGAAGUCCCUUUGCUCUUCCUUCAUCUUCCGCCAUGAUUGUGAGGCCUCCCCAGCCAUAAGGAACCAUGAGUUCAUUAAACCUCU
rnacentral:lncRNA from 1 species